rnacentral:lncRNA from 1 species
CAGAAUACCACAGUCUGGAGGCUAUGAAGUCCAUGAUUAAGAAGCCAGCACGUUUGCUUUCUGGUUCCAAGAUGGCACACCUUUUUGCUGCUUCCUCCAGAGAGGAGGAACACUGUGUCCUCACAUGGUAGAAGAUGGAAGGAGCAGAUGCAGAUGAGCAUGGCAAUGUGAGAACAUGUCAGAGGCCCCAAGAGGAAAUGAGCUCAAGUCCCUGAAAUCCCUGUUACAAGAGUCUUUCCACUGGUUGGGAAUGCUAAUUGUAUUUUGAGAAACAAAACAGAAUUUGUACUCAUAUCAGAAGACAAUCAAAGAACAUACAGAUAAUAUACAUUCUAUUAUAGAGGAGAAGAAAUGCUUACUGCCAAUACCAUGACAGAUAACAAAUUAUCGGCAUGUAUCUGAGUAUGCAGAGAAGGGACUGAAUGAAUAUGCCCAAAGAUGUGUAACACUCAUUGUCUCUGGGGAGAUGAAGAAGAAGUAUGGAAGAAGUAAGUAUGGAAGAAGUAAGAUGAAGAAGAAGUAUGGAAGAAGUAAGUUGUCUGUGUAACCUCAUUCUUCCUGGACACGGGACAAGAACUUGGGACCCGCUGAAUGAUGGGAGCAAAAGGAGCUGUAUCAUGUUCCUGGCCAGCUGGCUAAACUGCAGAUGGUGACAUGCUCCCAGACUGUGGGAGUGAAGAGUGGCAACCCUUCUGGCGG